UACAGAGACUGCAAGCGUUAUUCGGAUUCACUGGGCGUAAAGGGUGCGCAGGCGGCCAAGUGUGUGAGGCGUGAAAGCCCGGAGCUUAACUCCGGAAUUGCACCUCAAACUACAUGGCUAGAGCAUUGGAGAGGGUAGCAGAAUUCACGGUGUAGCAGUGAAAUGCGUAGAUAUCGUGAGGAAUACCAGAGGCGAAGGCAGCUACCUGGACAAUUGCUGACGCUCAGGCACGAAAGCGUGGGGAGCAAAAGGG
rnacentral:rRNA from 1 species